GACGAACGCUGGCGGCGUGCCUAACACAUGCAAGUCGAACGGAGUUAAAUUCGACACCCGAGUAUCCGGCCGGGAGGCAGGGUACUGGGGGUUGGAUUUAACUUAGUGGCGGACGGGUGAGUAACGCGUGAGUAACCUGCCUUUCAGAGGGGGAUAACGUUCUGAAAAGAACGCUAAUACCGCAUAACAUCAAAUUAUCGCAUGAUAGAUUGAUCAAAGGAGCAAUCCGCUGGAAGAUGGACUCGCGUCCGAUUAGCCAGUUGGCGGGGUAACGGCCCACCAAAGCGACGAUCGGUAGCCGGACUGAGAGGUUGAACGGCCACAUUGGGACUGAGACACGGCCCAGACUCCUACGGGAGGCAGCAGUGGGGGAUAUUGCACAAUGGGGGAAACCCUGAUGCAGCAACGCCGCGUGAGGGAAGAAGGUUUUCGGAUUGUAAACCUCUGUUCUUAGUGACGAUAAUGACGGUAGCUAAGGAGAAAG
rnacentral:rRNA from 1 species